AACCACGGUGUGGCAACAUAACCAGCAUUUGCAAUGUCAACGUGAAUUCCCCCGCUGCAAAGUGCGAGAGAUCGUACAAAGCCGCCCACCCUUCAACUUCAGAGGAAAUUUCCCCCAACAAGAGAUGGUUUUGCACGGGAGUUUCUCAGGUCAGCUCACUUCAUCCCGACCCGCGGGGCGCUGGUUUAAAAGCAUCGCGUCCCCCUUCGUAAUGGACAUUUCCCUCUCGGCAUCCCAGGACCAGGGCAACGAGAGAAGCAAACCAUUAUCAUACUGCCACAUUCUGCUUCCAUCUAUGAUUCUACUGCAGAUUCUGAGAUCCUUUUGUAACAGAGUCCUCCACACCAACUUCCUCAGAUCCUGUCUGUUAUCUGUCUGUAAAGUUGCAUCCAAUACUGAAUUGUUAGAGCUGGUUGAUGGAGUCCUGGUAUUAGGGCAUUUUAAAAACUGCUGGUUUGAUUGUUUAUGUUCUUAAUCUUCAUUCAUUUAAUUGAAUAA